rnacentral:rRNA from 1 species
GAGUUUGAUCCAUGGCUCAGGACGAACGCUGGCGGCGUGCUUAACACAUGCAAGUCGAGCGAUGAAAUUCUCUUCGGAGAAUGGAUUAGCGGCGGACGGGUGAGUAACACGUGGGUAACCUGCCUUAUAGUGGGGGAUAGCCUUUCGAAAGGAAGAUUAAUACCGCAUAAUAUUGUAGUUUCGCAUGAAACAACAAUUAAAGAUUUAUCGCUAUAAGAUGGACCCGCGGCGCAUUAGCUAGUUGGUGGGGUAACGG